UAUUAAUGGUUCGUUUGUAA
rnacentral:sRNA from 1 species